GCUGCGAAACCCGUCCAUGCGACUGAGAGCGCCGCCUUCCCUCUCCGCCCUUCUCUCGCCACCAAAACCCUACCUCUUCUCGAAGCCCUUCUCUCUUUCCUAUCUCUACCGUCCUCGAACCCUCGCGACCAUGGCUAAAACCCUCGACGAAUCCGACGUCGGCAUCUCCUGCUACGUCUCUUCCCUUGCCGGCUUCCGCGGCAUCUUGAAGCAGAGGUACUCUGAUUUCAUAGUCAACGAAGUAGAUUCCGAUGGGAACAUCGUCCGUCUCACCUCCUUUGAUCUUCCCCCAGAGGAAUUUGACGAGAAAGUUCGAGAGAAUCCUUGUUCCGAUGGUAAAGAUUACACCUUGGAGAUUGAAUCGUUUCGGUCCCUUUGCGGCGAGGUUGAUGCUGAUGCAUUGAAGGCUUUUCUUGGGAAGGUUUUGGCCUCAGAAAGCGAUGCCUCUCCCAUUGUGCUCUCUCCCGAUCCUGACAAGUCUCAUCGAGCGGAAGUUCACAAUUUCUUCAAGAGGAAUUUCAAGUUCUUGGUCACGGAUACUGUUGAAGAAUCAGAAGGGAGUUCAAAAUGCAUAAGGGUGAGGUUCUCUUCAGGCAAGGGAGGAGGUAUGAGCAAGAGGGGAAUGAAACGGAAGGAUACCAAAGAUGACAAACCAUUUGACAGCAGAGGCUCUAAGAAUUGGCCAGAGCAUAUUGGAAAGUUUUUGAGGUUUAAUCUUUAUAAAGAGAACAAGGACACCCAAGAGGCUUUAGGACUUAUUGGAAAGAUGCUAGGCGUUCAUCAACGAUCAUUCGGCUUUGCUGGUACAAAAGAUAAACGUGCUGUAACUACUCAAAGGGUUACCAUAUUCAAGCAGCAUGCGAAAAGGUUAGCUGAACUUAACAGCAGACUAUUUGGUGUUAAAGUAGGAGAUUUUUGUUAUGUAAAGGAAGGGCUUGUUCUUGGCCAGCUUGCAGGAAAUCGUUUCACAAUUACUUUGAGAGUCGUUGCUGCAGAUUGUAAGGACACCAUAAAAGCAGCUGCAGAUGGUUUACAGAGGAAUGGGUUUAUCAACUAUUAUGGUUUACAGCGUUUUGGAAGUGGUUCUGUGCCAACCCAUCUUGUUGGAGCAGCUUUACUUCGGGGGGAAUGGAAAGGUGCUGCAGCUCUGAUUCUUGAUCCCAGGGAAGGAGAACGCCCGAUCACAAGAGAGGCACGGGAAUAUUAUAAAGAACAUGGUGAUGUUGAUUCAACACUGAAGAAACUACCUCGUUUUCUGGUUGCUGAGAGGGCUAUUCUUCAAUGUUUGAAGAAGUCCCCUGGCAACUACCUGCAGGCACUAAAGGCUAUUCCUAGAACAUUGAGAAUGAUGUAUGUGCAUAGCUACCAAAGUUUUCUAUGGAACCAUGCAGCUAGCAUGAGGGUGCAGAAAUAUGGGAUUUCACAGAUGGUACUAGGAGAUUUGGUACUAUGUAAGGAAAUCUCUCCUGCAGAAAUGGCUUCCUCUGACAAUCCUGACCUCGAAGAUGAUUGUAAUGAUGGAGAUAAUUGUUUAUUGGAUUUGUCUGAUGGAGUACAUUCUGAAGAAAAGGUUCAAUUUGUAAAAGUUGUUGAUUCUGAAGAUCUUCUUAAAGGACUCUAUACAUUCGAGGACGUUGUACUUCCUUUGCCUGGUUCAAAAAUUUUGUAUCCAGCAAAUGAUAUUGCUGGUGUGUAUCAUGAUUUGGCAAAGAAGGAUGGAAUUAGCUUGACAGAAAGUGUUCAUGGUGCCAAGGAAUUUUCAAUUUCUAAUUUGAAGGGUGCUUAUAGACGGGUAUUUCAGCGUCCUAUUGAUUUUGUGUGGGAAUUACUGGAUUAUACAGAUGACAAUAUACCUUUGGUUGAGACCGAUCUUGAUAUCAUGCAAAAAGAUUCUGGCCUCUCUAACAAAGAAGUGUUUGUAGAUGGAAUCUCUGUCAGCCAGACUAAAAACUUAGAUUCAGAGGUUUCAAUUGGUAAACAUAUGGUUGAGGAUGGAAACGCGGAUCCAUCACCAACGAUCGAGCUUGUUCACAACACCGACAUUCAGUCACCCAAGCUUGCUCUGAAAUUAGCAUUUACUCUUCCAACGUCAUGCUAUGCCACGAUGGCCGUAAGGGAGUUACUAAAAUCUUCAACCUCAGUUUCUUAUCAUAAAUCACUGAACCAUUGACUCUAUUGGGUGUUAAAAGUUGUUUCUCUGGAAGAGUCACAAUAUUUGAAACGGACAGGGCAAGUUGCUGUGGAGGAUGAAGCCACUGAACCAUUUCAAAUUCAUUAGACACAGGUGUCAUUGGCAGACUGUUUUUACCUGCUGUGUUCUUCUUGACUGACUACUGCUAGAUUAUCAUCAGUGGCAACUUGAUUCAAUUUGUGGGCUGCAAUUAUGCACAAGGCUUCAACAAUGUGGCAGAGAUUUGGUGGAAUUCUCUUUCAUGGUUGUUAUGGAAGAUAGUUUUGGUUCACUGGGUUAAAAUGAUUUCCUGCAAUAUAUUCCAUUUUUAUCUUAUCUAGCAAAACCGAUUUGGUUAAGGUGCAAAAAAUGUCAGGUUAUAAAGUAGUAGUCUUUUGAUGUAGCAGACUGUCUAUGGCCUGCCUUUAUAAAAUAUGUAUACUGUUGCCUGUUCUUGUGGUUGUGUUUUGAUGCAGCAGACGAUGGCCUGUCUCUAUAAAAUAUGUGUAACUGUUGCCGUCUCUUGUUUCUUUGAAUGGUCUUGAGUAUGAAAAAAGAAUGCAUUUGUGGAA